UAUUGAAUUAUUUAGAACUAGGAU
rnacentral:miRNA from 1 species